AUGGGGCGCGGCAAGAUCGAGAUCAAGAGGAUCGAGAACUCGUCCAACCGCCAGGUGACCUUCGCCAAGCGCCGGGCCGGGCUGGUGAAGAAGGCCCGCGAGAUCGGCGUGCUCUGCGACGCCGAGGUCGGCGUCGUCAUCUUCUCCAGCGCCGGCAAGCUCUACGACUUCUGGACGCCCAAGACCACGCUACCGAGGAUCUUGGAGAAGUACCAGACCAACUCCGGCAAGAUCCUGUGGGACGAGAAGCACAAGAGCAUCAGCGCAGAGAUCGACAGGGUGAAGAAGGAGAACGACAACAUGCAGAUCGAGCUCAGGCAUAUGAAAGGCGAGGAUGUGAACUCCCUGCAGCCCAAGGAACUGAUCGCCAUCGAGGAAGCUCUCACGAACGGCCAGACCAACCUCAGGGACAAGAUGAUGGACCACUGGAAGAUGCACAGGAGGAAUGAGAAGAUGCUGGAGGAGGAGCACAAGCUGCUGGCUCUGAGGAUGCACCAGCAGGACGACCUGAGCAGCGGCAUGAGGGAGAUGGAGCUCGGGUACCAUCAGGGUAGGGAUUUCACUUCCCAGAUGCCGUUCACCUUCCGGCUGCAGCCCAGCCACCCCAACUUGCAGGAAGACAAGUAG
rnacentral:rRNA from 1 species